UACGAAGGGGGCUAGCGUUGUUCGGAAUCACUGGGCGUAAAGCGCACGUAGGCGGAUUGUUAAGUCGGGGGUGAAAUCCUGAGGCUCAACCUCAGAACUGCCUUCGAUACUGGCGAUCUUGAGUCCGGAAGAGGUUGGUGGAACAGCUAGUGUAGAGGUGAAAUUCGUAGAUAUUAGCUAGAACACCAGUGGCGAAGGCGGCCAACUGGUCCGGAACUGACGCUGAGGUGCGAAAGCGCGGGGAGCAAACAGG
rnacentral:rRNA from 1 species